rnacentral:misc_RNA from 1 species
GCUAACAUUCUCUCAUUUGGACUGAAAACCAGAAAGUCAAAACCCCAUCCAAGAGCUAACAGAAUCAGAGUAAUAAGAAGAUUGAGGUCGGAAGGAUUUUCAAAACCACCCCUCUACCACAAACCAAUGGCCUUCCACCAAACCCCUCCAACUCCAAGCCAGAUAAUUAUGUUGACAAUAGAUAUUAGAAACCCGUAACCCCACCAUUUGGCAAGAGGCACGUAGUCCGCACCAUAGAAAACAGGUGCAGAUCCAAUGCCAUAGUGUGUAAGGCCACCCAUGAGGUUGGAAAGGAAUGACAGAACCAUGGCUCCAAAAUAUGGUGGAGUACCUAGAGCACUGGCAACGGACAGGAAUGCUGUAAACAUGGCACCAAUAUGAGCUGC